AUUGAACGCUGGCGGCAGGCCUAACACAUGCAAGUCAAACGAGUGGCGGACGGGUGAGUAAUGUCUGGGAUAAUGCCCGAUGGAGGGGGAUCACUACUGGAAACGGUAGCUAAUACCGCAUACCAUAGGAUGUGCCCAGAUGGGAGUAGCUUGUAGGUGAGGUAACGGCGCACCUAGGCGACGAUCCCUAGAUGGUGUGAGAGGCUGACCAGCCACACGGGAAAUGAUACACGGGGCAGGAUACUACGGGAGGCAGCAGGGGGGAAUAUUGCACAAUGGGCGGAAUCCUGAUGCAGCCAUGCCGAGUGUAUGAAGAAGGCCUUCGGGUUGUAAAGUACUUUCAGCGGGGCGGCGUUACCCGCUGAAGAAGCAUCGGCUAACUCCGUGCCAGCAGCCGCGGUAAUUC
rnacentral:rRNA from 1 species